CGGAGCAGCACGCCGUACCUCUCGGCUCUCCAAUUUUGGACGUCGCGUUUUCUGAUGAACUUUUUUACCCGUAAAUGUGUCGAAACUCUUACCCUGGCCAGCCAUGUGCAUUCAGAAAUAUUCCUACUAUAACUGUUGCACGUUUGGUACCAAUUUGGCCUUGAUUUGAAGUAGGCCUACGAGACAAAAUGUAUGAAAUUUGUGCCUUUUUUUCACUGGGUGGCUAGACAAGCUUUUACUAAAAACUGCAGUCGAGCACAUUUUAGAGAUUCCCACGAAGUUCUCAAGAUCAACUAUAGACUUUGAAAGCAUUAUAGUGAGUGGAUGGGGAACUCCGCUGAAUUGCCGUAGAAUGCUGUGUAAAACUUCACAACGAAGGCUGGACACAUCGACCAAACAACAUUGUUUUUGUUGAGAAACGGGUUGAACAGCUGAUGCAGCUGUUAGCAAUGGACGGAAACUGGGGGCAAUUUGAGGGCCGACCCAGCACACAACAGCGACCUCUCAUUCAAACAUGCUUCAAGAGACAACGAUGGGACUGUUGAGUCCUCUCAAGAGAGUGUGACCAGAUGGCAGUUGAAGAUCUUCGAUAUGUGGUAUCUGGGCAUACAUUGGACGUCAGGAACCAAGCCUGUCCAGAUGGGUGUUGAAGAUCAAUGGAUUUGUGGUAUGAGGACGUACUUGGAGGUCACCAAAGGACCAAGGUAAAAACAACUUUGCCGUAUAUCCAACCUCCAACCGCCGUACUUUUUAAAGUACGCUUUUGCGAUUUACCUUUUUUUUUUUUUUCUCAACUGCCAGUAAAUACAAUUGAGUAAAAAAGGAACACACAAAUGUAAACACACAAACAUUUUAUUUUUUGUGUUUUUUUCAAAAAAAGUACCAACAAUUUUACAAGUUUGCACCUGAUUAAUUGAUAUCAUUGAACUGAAAUGAAAAUGCAUAAAACACUCUUUUGAGUUUCGAUUUUCCUGAUU